CUUGCUCUCUGGGUGACGAGCGGCGGACGGGUGAGUAAUGUCUGGGAAACUGCCUGAUGGAGGGGGAUAACUACUGGAAACGGUAGCUAAUACCGCAUAACGUCUUCGGACCAAAGUGGGGGACCUUCGGGCCUCACGCCAUCAGAUGUGCCCAGAUGGGAUUAGCUAGUAGGUGGGGUAAUGGCUCACCUAGGCGACGAUCCCUAGCUGGUCUGAGAGGAUGACCAGCCACACUGGAACUGAGACACGGUCCAGACUCCUACGGGAGGCAGCAGUGGGGAAUAUUGCACAAUGGGCGCAAGCCUGAUGCAGCCAUGCCGCGUGUGUGAAGAAGGCCUUCGGGUUGUAAAGCACUUUCAGCGAGGAGGAAGGGUGGUGUGUUAAUAGCACAUCACAUUGACGUUACUCGCAGAAGAAGCACCGGCUAACUCCGUGCCAGCAGCCGCGGUAAUACGGAGGGUGCAAGCGUUAAUCGGAAUUACUGGGCGUAAAGCGCACGCAGGCGGUUUGUUAAGUCAGAUGUGAAAUCCCCGCGCUUAACGUGGGAACUGCAUUUGAAACUGGCAAGCUAGAGUCUUGUAGAGGGGGGGUAGAAUUCCAGGUGUAGCGGUGAAAUGCGUAGAGAUCUGGGAGGAAUACCGGUGGCGAAAGCGGCCCCCUGGACAAAGACUGACGCUC
rnacentral:rRNA from 1 species